GCAGGAGACAAGAAGUCCAUCAUGACCAUGAAGGAAGCCAAGAGGUGCGGUGGUACACUACCUGCUGCAUCCAGUCCUCACCAAGGAGCUCCAAGUACAAACACAACAACAAUGACAUCCUCAGUUGUCUGUCGCCGGCCUGCAGGUUGGGAGUAGCUGUGCACAGGCGGGGAAAUGUAGUCCACAAGAAAAUAGGUGGGCUGACCAAGCGCUCUGCAGCAGAGAAGUGUGAAUACAAGCACAACACCUCAGUCCAAGGCAUUUAUUGGGGAAGGUACAAGAUGGCCUGAGGCGUCCAGUUUCGCCGCUGAAAGAAGACGCCAGCGUCAGGCACCCAGGUGUACUUUCCUGCUAAUGUCUGCUUUGAAAGGCUACUUCCCCUUUAAACUACUAAAGCUUCAGAGGACAACACGCAGUUCAAGCAUCCCAUUCUCUCCGUGCAUACUGACUAGCAGGCAAGUGAUGACAACUUCAGGAAAAAGACUGAAAGUGAGCCGGGGGCCACAGGUGGACCUGCCUGGGGACUAACUUCCCUUAUCUGAAUAGUCAUUUGUGCUUUGUAGCAUGAAAUAACAAAUAUCUUCUUUAAGUUUCCAAAUGAUUCAAUGUCAAAAUAUAAAGAGUAGAAGAAAAUGUCAGCUACUAUCUUGUAAAACAGC